UUAAAUAAAUAAAACAUAUUCAAAGUGAGUACACUCUAAAAAAUGCUGGGUUAUUUGUUUAACCCAACAGCUGGGUUGAGCCUGUUGGGUCAUUUUGUUGGGUUAUUUUCUUAGUGUUGGGUCAUUUUUUGAGUAACCCAAACGCUGGGUUACCAGUCUGGUCCAAUUGAGUGACAGUUGAGAGAGUAAACCCCUCCCACUCCUCUACGCAUCAGACAAACUUUACCUUCGCGGGCAUUUUGAUCCACUUCAUCUCGGAAAGCUGUUAUUCGGAGAACAAAAGGUAUGUUUUACGAGUUUUUAAUGUAUAAAACUAUUACUGUAAAAAAAAAAUGCAAAAGUAUGCAAAAUUCGGCUGUUCGCAUUAGGUUUGAAAGUAACGUUACAAUCUAGCUUCGUUAGCUUUGGAUAGCUAGUCUGUAACGUUAUGCCCACGUUGUUCUAAUUUACAGCUUUUUAAUCAUUUAAACUUCCUUUUUGGUGAACAUUUCCUCUGAAAUGUGUGACUUGUGUGAGGAAUUUAGUUCAGUAACUUACGCAAGGAGGUGUGAGCUUCAGGCUGUCAGCGGUCGUGUCUCCGUGGAGAGCAGCUCUAUCUCGGCCAUUGCUUCGGGAAUAGCCGCUGGCUCUUAUAACGUUAGUGGUUAACAAUGCGAUAUAGUUAAUUUUGGGUAUAUGAGACGAACAAUUGUUGCUCUUUUUAGACUUAAACUUAUUCCCGAGUGUGUCGAAUUAGUUAAGAGUUGUGUUAACGUUUAUAAUAUUAUUUUUUAAGACUGUAUUUCAGUUUCUGUACUAUAUCCCACUCAUCUUUUUCCCCCACUGACAGGUUGCAGAAUAACAGCUAAUAUUAAUGGAUCAUUCUAUUCAAGAGAAUGUCAACUGGAACUUGGAUGUUUUCAUAACAGGCUUAAAGAUGAACAAAUUGAUAAAGAAACCCUCCUGCUGGACAUCCACUUCCAAAAGUGCACACCACACUGUUGUCUACAACUCCUAGGAAAAGAAUCCUCUUAAGUAAGACUGCUCCGUGGAUAUGUCAGGUUAAGCAGUGCUGAAACCGAAAGAACUAACACUAUUUAAAAUGUUUUGUGAGUUUAUAUGAAGAGGAAAGUUACGGUGUCCCUUUUUCACAUCCAUAACGCUUGUUUAUUUCUUUUUUUAUAGAAAACUUGUGCAUAGACUUAUAUUUUAACAUAUAAAUGCAGUUCUAUUAACAAGGGUUUAGUAAAAUACUUUUUAUAGCGUUUUGAAGUGUUAAGUUGUCUAACUAUUUAUAUUUACUUGUGCCACUUUAAUAACCUUGUUAAAUGUAUAUGUUAAAAUCUAAACUAAUGUAAUUUAUUGAAAUUAAUGUUCUUUAAAUAUGUAUAAACAUACAUUUCAUCAAAGUGUUUUAUAUGCCAUUUUAUUGUUCAUUGAGCAUAACAUAUUGCAUGUUUUUAUGAAUUCCUUUUGUCUUGCAUUUUGAUCCUUAAUAAAACUAUUGAUUCUUA